AGUGAACGCUGGCGGUAGGCCUAACACAUGCAAGUCGAACGGCAGCACAGUAAGAGCUUGCUCUUACGGGUGGCGAGUGGCGGACGGGUGAGGAAUACAUCGGAAUCUACUUUUUCGUGGGGGAUAACGUAGGGAAACUUACGCUAAUACCGCAUACGACCUACGGGUGAAAGCAGGGGAUCUUCGGACCUUGCGCGAUUGAAUGAGUCGAUGUCGGAUUAGCUAGUUGGCGGGGUAAAGGCCCACCAAGGCGACGAUCCGUAGCUGGUCUGAGAGGAUGAUCGGCCACACUGGAACUGAGACACGGUCCAGACUCCUACGGGAGGCAGCAGUGGGGAAUAUUGGACAAAGGGCGCAAGCCUGAUCCAGCCAUACCGCGUGGGUGAAGAAGGCCUUCGGGUUGUAAAGCCCUUUUGUUGGGAAAGAAAAGCAGCAGGUUAAUACCCCGCUGUUCUGACGGUACCCAAAGAAUAAGCACCGGCUAACUUCGUG
rnacentral:rRNA from 1 species